rnacentral:rRNA from 1 species
ACAGGGAUGGCCCUAGUAACGGCGAGUGAAGCGGCCACAGCUCAAAUUUGAAAUCUGGCAUCCGCCCGAGUUGUAAUUUGCAGAGGACGCCUCGGGUGCGGCGCCGUCCAAGUCCCCUGGAACGGGGCGCCAUAGAGGGUGAGAGCCCCGUACGGUCGGACGCCAAGCCUGUGUGAGGCUCCUUCGACGAGUCGAGUAGUUUGGGAAUGCUGCUCAAAAUGGGAGGUAGACCCCUUCUAAAGCUAAAUACCGGCCAGAGACCGAUAGCGCACAAGUAGAGUGAUCGAAAGAUGAAAAGCACUUUGAAAAGAGGGUUAAAUAGCACGUGAAAUUGUUGAAAGGGAAGCGCUCGUGACCAGACGUGCGCCGGGGCGAUCAUCUGGCGUUCUCGCCGGUGCACUCGCCUCGGCGCAGGCCAGCGUCGGUUUGGGUGGGCGGAUAAAGGCGUUGGGAACGUGGCUCCCCCGGGAGUGUUAUAGCCCUUCGCGUCAUGCGCCCGUCCAGACCGAGGUUCGCGUUCGCAAGGACGCUGGCGUAAUGGUCACCAGCGGCCCGUCUUGAAACACGGACCAAGGAGUCGAGGUUUUGCGCGAGUGUUUGGGUGUCAAACCCGCACGCGAAAUGAAAGUGAACGCUGGUGGGAGCCUCGGCGCACCACCGACCGAUCCUGAUGUUCUCGGAUGGAUUUGAGUAAGAGCGUAGGGCCUCGGACCCGAAAGAUGGUGAACUAUGCCUAGAUAGGGUGAAGCCAGAGGAAACUCUGGUGGAGGCUCGCAGCGGUUCUGACGUGCAAAUCGAUCGUCAAAUCUGGGCAUGGGGGCGAAAG